rnacentral:rRNA from 1 species
UGAACGUGGGCGGCGUGGAUUAGGCAUGCAAGUCGGACGUCCCGCAAGGGACGUGGCGCAAGGGUGAGUAAGGGCGACGGUAACCAACCGAAGGGACGGGCAUAGUCAAGGGGAAACCCUGGGUAAUUCCCGGCGACGUCGCGGCCUGGCAUCGGGCUGCGACCAAAGGUGCAAUUCCGCCCUUCGACGGGCCGUCGUGGUAUCAGGUUGUUGGUGGGGUGACGGCCUACCAAGCCGAGGACGCCUACCGGGCGUGCGAGCGUGGCCCGGCACACUGGGACUGAGACACUGCCCAGACUCCUACGGGAGGCUGCAGUCGAGAAUCUUCGGCAAUGGGCGCAAGCCUGACCGAGCGACGCCGCGUGGAGGACGAAGGCCUUCGGGUUGUAAACUCCUGUCGAGGGGGAACAAGGGGCCGUGAAGAGCGGCUCUUGAGUGAUCCCUGGAGAAGCACGGGCUAGUCGUGCCACAG